rnacentral:rRNA from 1 species
GAUGAACGCUGGCGGCGUGCCUAAUACAUGCAAGUCGAGCGAACGGACGAGAAGCGUUCUUCGCUGAUGUUAGCGGCGGACGGGUGAGUAACACGUGGAUAACCUACCUAUAAGACUGGGAUAACUUCGGGAAACCGGAGCUAACACCGGAUAAUAUUUUGAACCGCAUGGUUCAAAAGUGAAAGACGGCCUUGCUGUCACUUAUAGAUGGAUCCGCGCUGCAUUAGCUAGUUGGUAAGGUAACGGCUUACCAAGGCAACGAUGCAUAGCCGACCUGAGAGGGUGAUCGGCCACACUGGAACUGAGACACGGUCCAGACUCCUACGGGAGGCAGCAGUAGGGAAUCUUGCGCAAUGGGCGAAAGCCUGACGGAGCAACGCCGCGUGAGUGAUGAAGGUCUUCGGAUCGUAAAACUCUGUUAUUAGGGAAGAACAUAUGUGUAAGUAACUGUGCAUAUCUUGACGGUACCUAAUCAGAAAGCCACGGCUAACUACGU